AUUGAACGCUGGCGGAAUGCUUUACACAUGCAAGUCGAACGGCAGCACGGGUGCUUGCACCUGGUGGCGAGUGGCGCACGGGUGCGUAACGCGUAUGCAACCUACCUAUUGCAGGGGAAUAGCCCAGGGAAACUUGGAUUAAUGCCCCAUAGCCCACAAUGAGAGCUAAUAAAGGUGGCCUCUAUUUAUAAGCUACCGCUAAAAGAGGGGUUUGCGUCUGAUUAGCUAGUUGGUAGGGUAACGGCCUACCAAGGCAAUGAUCAGUAGCCGGUCUGAGAGGAUGAACGGCCACACUGGGACUGAGACACGGCCCAGACUCCUACGGGAGGCAGCAGUGGGGAAUCUUCCGCAAUGGGCGAAAGCCUGACGGAGCAACGCCGCGUGAACGAAGAAGGUUUUCGGAUCGUAAAGUUCUGUUCUUAGAGACGAAAGAUGCGAUUGUGAAUAAUGAUCGUAAGUGACGGUAACUAAGGAGCAAGCCACGGCUAACUACGUG
rnacentral:rRNA from 1 species